UACGUAGGGUGCGAGCGUUUGUCCGGAAUUAUUGGGCGUAAAGAGCUUGUAGGCGGUUUGUCGCGUCUGCUGUGAAAAAUCCGGGGCUCAACUUCCGGACUUGACAGUGGGUACGGGCAGGCUAGAGUGUGGUAGGGGGAGACUGGAAUUCCUGGUGUAGCGGUGGAAUGCGCAGAUAUCAGGAGGAACACCGAUGGCGAAGGCAGGUCUCUGGGCCACUACUGACGCUGAGAAGCGAAAGCAUGGGGAGCGAA
rnacentral:rRNA from 1 species